rnacentral:rRNA from 1 species
CCUACGGGAGGCAGCAGUUAGGAAUAUUGGACAAUGGGGGCAACCCUGAUCCAGCCAUGCCGCGUGUGUGAAGAAGGCCUUAGGGUUGUAAAGCACUUUCAGCUGUGAAGAUAAUGACAGUAGCAGAAGAAGAAGCUCCGGCUAAAUUCGUGCCAGCAGCCGCGGUAAUACGAAUGGAGCGAGCGUUGUUCGGAAUCACUGGGCGUAAAGGGUGCGCAGGCGGUCAUGAAAGUUAGAAGUGAAAUCCCAGGGCUUAACCCUGGAAUGGCUUUUAAAACUCCAUGACUAGAGUACUGGAGAGGUUGGCGGAAUUCCGAGUGUAGAGGUGAAAUUCGCAGAUAUUCGGAGGAACACCAAUGGCGUAGGCAGCCAACUGGACAGUAACUGACGCUCAUGCACGAAAGCGUGGGGAUCAAACAGGAUUAGAUACCCUGGUAGUCCACGCCCUAAACGAUGUGUGCUAGUUGUCGGGUUCUUAGAACUCGGUGACGCAGCUAACGCUUUAAGCACACCGCCUGGGGAGUACGGUCGCAAAGAUUAAAACUCAAAGGAAUUGACGG